rnacentral:rRNA from 1 species
CGAAUUGCGCCUGUGUCAUGACCUCAUCAUAAAGGGUAGAGAUGUGGUCCAGUUAGCACCGUUCGUUCCGUACUUUUAACUUAUCAUGAUAGACUGUGGAGGCGCGAACUGGGUCGCGCGCGGUCCUGUGGCGGGGCGCCGGAAGUUUACUAGCUCAGCGGGGGCUGAAGGUCUAAGGUCAGUGGGUCGGGGUGUCUCCUUGUCGAUUUGUUUAAUUCUCGCUGUGGCCUCGUUCAAUGUCGGUCGAAGUCGAACCUUCAAUAGGGGAAAUAUUCGUCAAGAACUGUCCCUCACCAUUUGCCAUAAUACGGCCUUCUUUACCACGAGACGCCGUGCCGGUCGAAGUUCCUGCAACUGUUCCUUCUCGGCUACUCACCGCCUCCGUUCGUCCGCGUCUCCUUCCUCUUCUUCUUCGGCCCGCGGCCCUUCUUCCUCUUGGGCAUGCGCAGCGCGCCCGAGCUGUUCAAGAGGUACCACGAGCGCCUCGAGCUCAGGGCCGCCCUCUUCCAGGACGCGGCGCAGCUGCCGCCGCUGGUGCAGUACCAGGCCAAGCACGUCAGGCUCUGGUUCCCGACCCACGGGUAGCAGCAGUUCGACGGGCGCCUUCUCGGGCGGCGGUUCCGGCUCGGUUUCUUCUUCACGUUCAAGUUCGACCGGCAGAGCAGGUGCGGAGGCGGGUGCGUCGGCGGCAGCGGCGCCUGCCUCAGGUGGUCGGGCUCUCCUCCUCUGCUGCGGCAGUACGUGCAGCGCGGACGCUGCCGCGGCCGCCAGCGACGUCGCGGCUGCUUCUUCUUCCGAAGCGGGCGGCCCUCCACCAGCACCCGCCUGUUCCGCUAAUCCGGCUCGGUCAUGACCGGCAAGCACCGCCACGACGAGAACGACUCGGACCAGCACAAGCCCUCCUACAAGCGGUAGACGACGUGGAGGUAGACCACCAUGGAGCACGGGUAGAACUUGCCGCUCCUACCUCCUGGCUCUAGGUACCCGUUCUGGCCGUCCGUAGAGCCGUUCUUCCGCUCGCUUCUUCUAGCCGCUCUUCUAAUGAACCCGCAGUAACGGAGGAAGUGUACCGUUCUUCCCGUCGAGACCGCUGGUACUCCACUAAAGCGGAUCUUCCAGUGUACCGUUCUUCUCGUCGAGGCCGCUGGUACUCCACUAAAGCGGGUCUUCUAGUGUACCGUUCUUUUCAUCAUCGAGGCCGCUGGUACUGCACUAAAGUGGAUCUUCGGUACGUGUACCCUUCUUUCCCAUUAAGCGUGAAUCUUCCAGCACAACAUUUAUCAGCAGUUUGCCCCACCGGUCUUUCUAGUUUAAAGUCCAAAAUAGAAAGGAUGGCAAGAGGCCAAAAACAACAAGAAAAAGAGUUUCCUUUUUUCUCGACUAACAUCUAAACAUUACCUUCACAGGUACAUGUGGUCUAGUCGGGGAAGUACACACCGAUGAGUUUGUUUCACAAGUCUUUUAAGCCCGUUGU